AUGGUCUAACCUACCAAAUGCUUAUCGCCUUGUGACAAAGAGUAGAUUUAAUUCAAAACGACAUAAAUUAGACAUAAUUUUAAAUUCUUUUAUUUAGUUUACAUAAUCUAAGAGAUAACUACAGGAUAAGCUGGCUUUUCAAAAGAACCUUAUCAAAAAAAUUAAUGCACUAGUCAAUUGAAACCACCAGGGAAGGGUGGGGGAUUAGACUUUGAUCCUGUAGAAAACAGAGAAAAGCUCCCACCCCCUCGGGGAAAAACUGCAGUCAAAUGCCCCUUCCCCUCAGGAUGCAAACUAUAGGAAACUACCUGGCAUUUGAGAUAACAAGUCAUCUUAAAUGUCUUUCAAAGCAAGUACACUUAACUGAGUACAUUUGUACCAAUAACAAUUAAGAUAACCAUUACUAAAAAAUGGAAAAAUAAAUAAUCUUCAUUUUGCAUUAGUUAUCACUCAUAUUUGUUUUCACACAUAUUGUCGUGCAGCUUGACAUAGUCUAAUACACAGAACUGCUUGCUACAGAAGAAAGUCUCAAAUCAGAAACUGACUUGACUUUUGCAAUGUACAUUUGUGAGGCUAUUAAUUUGUCCCAAAACCCCCAGGCUGGGGACAAACCUUAGAGUAAAAAACUGUCAAUUCCCCCACCCCUCCGGAUAAAUUUUUGUUAAAAAGUGCUCUAAACCCCCACUUUAACCCCCCACUUCCCCGGGACCACGGGGGUGGGGGUUUCAAAUGACAAAGUGCAUAAUUAAAAAUGUUAAUUUACUUGAAAGAUCACUCAAAUAUUGAUUGGUAAAAUUUUUUUGAUAUAACUUCUGUGAAACCUAUAGAAUUUAAGGUACAAUACAACUCUUGCACAUUUAUAUAUAUUGUUCGAGAAAUUCUUUCAAACAGCUCCGGAAGAACUUUCUGGAUCCAAUGUACGAAAGCUGAUGAAACUCUGAGUAGGAUUUUGUGCGAUUUCGGUUUGCAGGGACACUAUCCAAAAACCUCAAACGCACCGAUACGGAGGGUACAAAAUGCAGGUCGGGUGAUUUUAUAGUUUUUGUAGCUACUGCGCAUGUUCGAGUAGAUGCUAUGUCAUCACGUCGGAAAAAAUCAAAAAGAAAAAAGUAAGAUUUGCCGCGGUGUUUGCUGGGAAAAUUUGACUUCGGGAUAUGAUCGUUACGAAGCGCCAGCCUAGAAUCACUUUA